ensembl:lncRNA
CCCCACGCCCCUCCCCACGCCCACCACGCUCUGCGCUCCUUCACGGCCCUCCCCGUCCUCCUUCAUGACCCUCCUCUUCCUCCUGGCGUCCUCCACACUCUGACCCUGCAGCCAUGCUGCCGGGCUAAAGCGGGUUUAAUUAAUGGCGCCUGAGGCCGGCUCCUGAGGGCUCCUGAGGCAGCUUGAAACCCAGCAAAAGCUCCCUGGCUGAUAAAAGUUCAGUGGCUAAACUGGAAAUACUGGGACCCGGGUAGGUAGAACUUGCAUUUUCAAAGCCACCUUUCCUCCAUCCCCUCCAUCUGGUCGGGCUGCUGGAACCCUCACAGUGGAGAACUCCCGGCUGAGGGGUCUACACUUUGGUCAUGCCUCAUAGAAGAACAGCCCCAGCCAUAGUAUUAACAGGAGGAAACAUCACAGCAGACAGCUCUAAUUCCUGGACUAUAGACAGGAAACGCAGAAGCCCGGCCAUCAGAGAAUUGCACACCUGGGCUGUCUUGAUCUGGUUCCUUGGAUAAUUGCUCUGUGGAUCUGAGCAUUGACCCUGAGCCAUCGGCCCACACUGAGGAGUGCCACAAACAACCGUGAGCCCCACUGCUUCCUUGCCUGGAGGAUGUGAUUGAGGAUGUGGUUUUCUGCCCUUUGCGUGGACCCAAGAAAGAAGUUUCUUUCAGACCUUGUACCAGGAAUAAUCGUGCUUCUCCUGAGCAACUGGCUUGUUUUGUUUUUGUGAACACUCUAAAUUGUGUAACUGUCUGUGUCUUUCAAAGCCAUCUAAAAUCCUUUGGGAACAAGACAGGGUAUAAAAUAAAGCUAUUCAGAGUUUAGACCAAGCUCCCUAUUUAAUGCAUUAUAUUCCUUUUGGAAAAGUCGCUUCAUUUGGCUGACCUUCUUUGCUCGUAAGUUAGAGAUAAUGAGUUCUUCCUGUGAACAGAGUGUAAAUUAGUAAUUUUAAAGCAACUCAGAGUUCCCUCAAGGCAAGUUAUUAUGGAAACUAACACUAAUAUUUAAUUUCUUUAAAUCUCUGCUAUUUUGUAAUUCCCUCUCUUUUUAUGUCAUUCCUGAACUUUGCUUGCUCAUUCAUUUACUUGGCACAUUUGAGGAUGUAACAGUGCACCAAACACCCUGGAAGGAUACAGAUUAAAAAGUCUGGAUUGUGCUUUCCAGUAGCAUGAAGAGUUGAGGGUGUGUUUUCCACUAAAUUAGAGAUUUAAAUAACAAGAAAACAAUAAAUGAAUAAGUAAAUAAAUAUCUUAAUUAUAAAAUUCUGUGGUUGCAGUUAAGAAAAGAAAUAGGGAACAGUGGGAAAGGAUGACAGUUCUAGAGGUGGAGAUGGAAGGUGCCUGUAAGAAGGCAACUUUCACGCAAAGCCCUGGAGAAUAAAAAGGAACAACUGUGCUAAGAGCUGAGGAAAUAAGUCUUAAGGCAUGAGAGGGUUUGGCAGGGUGAUGGAUCUGAAAACAGACAGUGGCAUGACAGUAAGCAAGGACAAAGGAGGAAUUUGGAGAGAAGGUCAGGGACCAGGCCAUUUAGGGCCUUAAAGGUCGGAGCAUGGGGCCUGCAUCUUCUCUUACCUUCCAUAGGAUGCCUCUUGAAGCACUUUAUGGGCCAGAGUGAUGUGGUAUGAGUGAGGUUUUAAGGAGAUAAUAUUGCUUGUAUCUCUAGUGUGAGAUAAUCUCACGUAAUAAGGGAAAUGUUGAGGCGAGGUAAGCACUGAGGGUAGGAUAGGGGAACACAGAGGAGGUGUCCUCUGGGAGUUCUCAAUUCGGUUGUUGAGCAAGACUUCCUGAAGUAUAUGGUGGCUGAGCUGAGAUGUGGAGAAAUGAGUAAGAGUUCGCCAAGGGAAGGGAAGUAAGGGUGAACUAGACAGUGAACUUCAUGACUGAAUGUACAGUGAUAUGUGACAGCACGGUAAGGAUGCUGCUGUAUUGAAGCAUCAAGUAAAACAGAGUAUGAGGGAGUUGAAGCUGGAGAGGAGGCUAAGGAUUGGACCAUGGAGAAGCUUGAGUGUCUAAUACUUUCUUCCCCAUUCCAUGGCUGGCAGGUGGGAGGGAGCUGGGUCCCAUCUCCUAACAUUUUUAUGAGAAUUAUUUGCGAAAAUAAUUGCUGCAACCUCUUAAAUAAAAGCUUACUUCCCCCCAUACUUUCUUUGAAAUAAGACCCCUUGGAGUACAGGUGGCCAUGAGCAACUCUUCUGCAACCUGAGAUGGAGCAGUUGGGAGAAGGUUACUCAUCUUCACCUUUGCCUGUACCUUGUCACCUCCUAUCACCACCUCCUCCUUUCCCUGGCUCUUGUCAUCUCCAGACCUCUGCAGAGGAAGUUGCUGGUGGGUGCCCAUCCCACUUCCUAAUGAAUGUAGGUGUGCUUAGUAAAAUGCUGACAGAUAUGACGUGUUAUGAUAAGUGCUAAUGGCACUAGAUUUAGAGUCAGGGGCUGGUCCUAGGCCUUCUGCUUAGUAGCUGAGUGACCUGAGCAGGUCACUUGAGUCCUGGGAGCUAUUUCCUCACAUAUAUAUAAAGGGGGAUGUAUCUACCUCCCUGAGUUGUUGUGAGGAUUAAAUGAAAAAUUGAAUAUAUGCAAAGUGCUUACACAGUGCCUGCUUAGUAAACUAUAGGUGUUAUUGUUGUCCAUAGUAGGGAAAUAAUAAUCAAAAGGGAAAGCAGACUCAAAGUUCUUUUCUGAACACUGAUCAUGGAAGACUAGGAAAUGGAGAAGCUACUGAAAAAAAAUAAGGUAAUUGACCUUGGCUAAAUCACUUAACUCGUUUCCUCAUCCAAACUGUGGGGGUUACAAUUUCCCUUUUGUGUAAUGUAUUAGAUAUUUACAAGGAAUAGAUGUUAUUAUAGAUGCAAAAAUUUUUUGAAUACUGAGUAUUUUCUUGUUUUGCUUAAAGAAAAUCUGGAUCCUCCAAGAGAUGACAAGGAUUUUGGCAGGGAAAUAUUUCAGAGAGAAAUUGUGGUAGAACUUAGAGAAGCUGGCAGGGCUGUCAGACUGUGAUGGAGGUCUGACUUGAGGAAAGGAAAGUUUGGCAAGGGGGGACAACCUUGAACCAAAGUCAACCAAUAGAGGAACCCUGCAGCUCACAUCUUUCAGGGAGAAGGCAGCCAAGCUAUCCCUGCUGAGCUCAGUAAUGGGCUGGGAAGAGCUUGUGGGAGGCGUGGCCUCAGCACAAAGAAGUGAUGGAUUUCAGAGCAGCAGCUGGGGCCAUUGGUCAGUUCUGCUCCCUGUAGCUGGUAUGAUCUUGUGGCCACCACAUUUACUAUGAUGAAGAAUCUAUUUUCUUACCAGGAGAAAAUAUUGUUUUGCAACUAAGGCUUUUUAUUCUGAUCCCCCUACAUAUGUAAGAGAACUCAUCCCGGCAAGUCCACUGCAGCCAUUCUUCCAGUGAAGGUCAACAAAUAGUGUGCAGUGCUCUGAUAAUGAGCUAAAGGAACUUGUGGGCAUGGGCACUGCUUUUACCUUAAGUGCGUUCUUGAAAGAGCUAAUGGGGAACGUGUUAGUGUUCUCUCUUAGAGCUGGUACUUUUUCUUUCUUGAUACAAAAUAGCAUUUAUUAAUAAUUUCCUCUGUAUCCACUGACUUUUUUUAUCCAAUCAGCCUCCCUAUGCCUUUCGAUUGGAGCAUUUAGUCCAUUGACAUUUAAAGUAGCUAUUGAUAAGAAUGUACUUAUUGCCAUUUCGUUGCUUUUUUUUCUGGGUGUUUUAGUAAUUCUUCUCAGUUCCUUUCUUCUCUUGCUUUCUUCCCUUAUAGUUUGAUGGCUUUCUUUAGUAUUAUGUUUGGGUUCCGUUCUAUUAAUUAUUCGUGUAUUUUAGGUGUCUGGUUUGUCAUUAGUACGAGGUUCAUAUAUUAUAGUCUACAUGUAUCAUGGUCAAUAUUGAGUUGCUGGUCUCUUUAGUUUGACCUCUUACUGAAAGCUCUACUCUUUUGUGUGUGUGUGUGUGAGGAAGAUUAGCCCUGAGCUAACAUCUGCCAUCAAUCCUCCUCUCUUUUUCUGAGGAAGUCUGGCCCUGAGCUAACAUCCAUACCCAUCUUCCUCUACUUUAUAUGUGGGACGCCGCCACAACAUGGCUUGACAAGUGGUGCAUUGGUCCACACUUGGGAUCUGAACUGGCAAAUCCCGGGCCACUGAAGCAGAACAUGUGAACUUAACCACUGCACCACUGGGCUGGCCCUAAAAGCUCUACUCUUUUACUCCCCUCAUCCCACAUUUUCUGUUUUUGAUAUCAUAUCUAACCUCUUUUUUUGUGCAUGUGUAUCCAUUACCCUCUUAUCAUGGAAAUAGAUAAUUUUAAUACUUUUGUCUUUUGACCUCCAUAUUAGCUGCUACAUUUAUUGUAUAUUUGCCUUUACCAGUGAUUUUAUUGGUUUUUAAAAAGUAAUUUUCUUAUUCCUAUUUGUGGUCUUAUCUUUUCCAUUCAAGCAAGUCCCUUUAGCAUUUCUUGUAAAGCUAGUUUCUUGGUGAUAAACUCCUUUAGUUUUUGCUUGUCUGGGAAACUAUCUUUCCUUCCAUUCUGAGUGAUAAACUUGGUGGGUAGAGUAUUAUGGCUGUAGGAUUUUCCUUUCACCACUUUAAAUAUAUCGCGCCACUCCCUUCUAGCCUGUAAAGUUUCUGCUGAGAAGUCAGCAGAUUGCAUUAUGGGGUUUCCUAUGUAUGUAACUUGUUGCUCUUCUCUUGUGGCUUUUAGGAUUCUCGCUCAUCUUUAAUUCUUGACCUUUCAAUUAUAAUGUGUCUUGGUGUGGGCCUCCUUGGGUUUCUCUUAUUUGGUGCUCUCUGUGCUUCCUGUACUUGGAUGUCUGUUUCCUUCCUUAGGUUAGGAAAGUUUUCAGCUAUGAUUUCUUCAAAUAGAUUCUCUGCACCUUUGUCUCUCUCUUCUCCUCCUGGGACACCUAUAACACAGAUAUUAGUAUGCUAGAUGUUGUCCCAGAGGUCCCUUAGACUGCCCUCACUCUUUUUAAAUUUUUUUCUUUUAUCUGUUCAGCUUGUGUGAUUUCCUCUGGUCUUUCAUCCAUCUUGCUGAUCCAUUCUUCUGUAUCUAGUCUGCUAUUGAGUGCCUCUAGUGAAGGUUUCAUUUCUAGUAUUGUAUUCUUCAUUUCAGAUUGAUUCUUUUUUAAAUUAAAUUAUUUUUUUAAAAGAUUUUAUUUUCCUUUUUCUCCCCAAAGCCCCCUGGUACAUAGUUGUAUAUCCUUCAAUGUGGGUCCUUCUAGUUGUGGCAUGGGGGACGCUGCCUCAGCGUGGUUUGAUGAGCAGUGCCAUGUCCACACCCAGGAUUUGAACCAAUGAAACACUGGGCCGCCUGCAGUGGAGCAUGCGAACUUAACCACUCAGCCAUGGGGCCAGCCCCCGAUUGGUUCUUUUUUAUAUUUUCCAAUUCUUUGUUGAUGUUUUCACUGAGUUCUUCUCCCAAGAUCAACAAGCAUCCUUAUGACUCUUUGUUCGAACUGUUUGUCACAUAGGUAGUUUACUUCUGUUUCAUUUAGUACUUUUUCUGGGGUUUUAUCCUGUUUCCUUACUUGGAAUGUAUUCCUUUAUCUCCUCAUUUUGCCUCUUUCUCUGUGCUUGUAUCUAUGUAUCAUGUAUGCCAGCUACAUCUCCUGAUCUUGGAGAGGUGGGCUUAUAUAAGAGAUGCCUUAUGAGGUCCAGCAGUUUGCUUCCCUCUCAUCACCAGUUCCAAAUGUUCCAGGAGUAUCGCCUGUGUGUGCUAUAUGUGCCCUUCUGUUCGUGUUGCUCUUGCUGCAGGUGCCUGGGGAGGCUAGGCUUAAGGUUACUCCCUGCUGGCCGUGAAGCAUCUCUGCUAGAAGGUGGUCUUUUUCUCUCCAGAAAGGAGUUUCUGCCUCUUCCACCUCAGUCAGCCCUGUCCCAUUUUGUGGGGGUUCUUUUAACGCAGUUUUCAGUUCUCUCUUAGGGUUAAUUUUUCCAAGGGUAGUUGUAGAUUUGUUGUGUCCACGGGAGGAGGUGAGUUCAGAGUCUGCCUACACCACCAUCUUGACCUAAAGUGGUAACUUUGAGUAAAAUUGGGCUGGGAAGUCCUUUCAGGCUGCAUCUCAGAGUGCUGUAGUCCUCUAUCUGGGAUGAUUCCUUGCCAACAUCCAUGUACAAACAUGCCCUAAUGUGUGUUAAACAGGCAGACCUCCUUUGACCCAAGAUUCCUCUCCAUUUCCCAUUCUGUUUCUCUGCUCAAAUUCAAACUGCCUCUCCUCAGGUUCUCUCCUGAAAUAAUUCAGGAGUUUUCUCCACAUCACUUCACCGAAAUGGCUUUUUCCAGGUCACCAAUGAUUUCCAUUUUGCUAAAUUCAAGGUUAAGUUUUUGCUCUCAUCUCACUCAACCUUUCAGCUGCAUUUGACACAGAUUAUACAAUUGAACACUCCUCCUUCUUGAAACACUUUCCUCUGGAUUUCCAGACACCCCUUCUCUCCUGAAUUCCCUCCCCCAUCUCUCCCUCCUCCUGCUCCUUCUCCUCCACCACAUCUCUAGUAAUACUCCCUUCUCGUUCCUGUGUGUUCUCUCUUCUCAGAGGAGUAAAUAUUUUUCCUAUUAUCUUAGUGGCUACCCUACUUUAUCAUGGUCUAACAUUAAUUAGUAUGUAUACCUUCUUCCCAGAGAGUGCAAGAAUCCCAUUUACCUCUUUCUGACUUCUAGAUUAUUAUUGUUGUGUGCUUAAAUUAUCAUAUAACUAUAAAACUAUAAAUGUAAUAUAUGAAAAUAUAUAUUUGAAGCCUAUCACAUUUUAUCUUUGUUUUAUAGAUUAUUUAUUUGGAGCUACCCACAUAUUAAUUAAUUUUGCUGUUCUUACGUUGUUCCUACUUCUCCAUCAUGAGAUUUCCUCCCUUUCUCUCAAAAAAUAUCCUUCACUAUUAUCCUUCAGUUUGAUAUUUUAGGGGAGCAAGAAAUUUUCCUCUUUCCUCUUGGUUCUUCUGGCUGGUCUAAGGAUUAAAUUGACAUGAGAAAGAAUAACAGGAGAAAAUCAAAGAAAGUUAAGAACAUGUAUACAUGGGAGAAGCACAGGAAAACUGAGUAAUUCCCCAAAAUGGCUGGAGCCACCACCUGAAAUACCUUAAAUACUUCAGCUGAAGACAAAAGAGGGUUUUGAGGGUAGUGGCUUGAGACUUCAAAUAGGAGGGAGGCAAUUCACUAAGAGAAGGAAAAGUAAGUGUUUGGUCAACAAAUGUUUGUCAUGUUUGGCAGAGAGUGUGGGACAUGAGGAGAGUUUUGAUCAAAUGGGCCUUGCUAGGCUCCUCCCUGUCUGCCACACCUAAUACAUAUUACACUAUAGUUAUCUAUGGUGAGAGCUCCUUCCUGGAACAGGCCUUCUAUCUUAAAAUCCUUUAGGAAGUUAGGAGGAAAGUCAAAGGAUCUUCUUGGUCUUUUGUUCCUAAAAAUAAUCAAGCCAAGGGGCUGGCCCCGUGGCCAAGUGGUUAAGUUUGCACGCUCCACUGCAGGCGGCUCAGUGUUUCAUUGGUUCGAAUCCUGGGCACGGACAUGGCACUGGUCACCAA